GAUAAAACGCUGGCGGCGCACAUAAGACAUGCAAGUCGAACGGACUUAACCAUUAGUUUACUAUUGGAGCGGUUAGUGGCGGACUGGUGAGUAAACACGUAAAGCAAACCUGCCUAUCAGAGGGGGAACAACAGUUAGAAAUGACUGCUAAUACCGCAUAUGCCUUAAGCAUCACAUGGUGCUAGAGGGAAAGGAGCAAUCCGCUGAUAGAUGGGCUUGCGUCUGAUUAGCUAGUUGGUGGGGUAAUGGCCUACCAAGGCGACGAUCAGUAGCCGGACUGAGAGGUUGAACGGCCACAUUGGGACUGAGAUACGGCCCAGACUCCUACGGGAGGCAGCAGUCGGGAAUAUUGCGCAAAUGGAGGAAAACCUCG
rnacentral:rRNA from 1 species